rnacentral:lncRNA from 1 species
UCGAUUGUUGUCUACAAUGAGAUGUAUAUAUACACAUUUUAAUUUGAUAGCACAAAAUAUUUGCUACCAUCUUCACAAAGACCCAUUACGCAUUGAAAAUAUGUGCACUUCCGGGUGACUGUUUGAGCAAAAAAUACAUAGGUUUGUUUAAAAAUAUAUGUGUGUAUAAAAUCAUGAUUUCUUUGGCCAUACACAUAGUAGAAUACAAAUAAGCCAGGGGACUACAUAUCAACUCCCUUGCUCUUAAAACAAAACAAUGAAACUUAUCAUUUCCUCUCUUCAGCGCAUUCUCCUCUCCUUCUCGGGUGCCCUGUGUGGCUUCCAAUGAAUCCUGCACCACCACCUCCAAAGCCAACGCAAGUGUUAUUUAGAUAGCAGAAAAACAAUGUGCAAUACAAUUAUAUAGACAUCUCUAGCAAAAUAUUGAUUGCACAUGUAGAUGGAGACUAAAACGAAGAAGGCAUUAAGAAUCAAGACAGAGAAGAUCUAGUCAUAGUAUCAACCAGGAGUCUCAAAUGAAGUACCAGUCAUGACAUAGUUAAGUUUCAGUUCAAAUAUCAUGUAAAAACUUUUCAGCUUAACUUAAAUAAAAACAUACUGAGACUCCACCAUGUGACUUCCACGUAGAAGGUUCUCAUAUAGAUGGACCGACGAGAAAAAAAUUACGACAGGUUAGACCAAAAAACAGGAAACAUUUUCCUGUCAAAGGCUCCACCUUGUGACUUCCACUUAGAAGGUUCUCAUAUAGAUGGACAAACGAGACAAAAUUACGACAGGUUAGACCAAAAAACAGGAAACAUUUUCCUGUCAAAGGUAAUUCAAAAUUAAAGAGAGGAAAAUCACAGUCUCUCGUUUUGCCAAAAUUACUGUGUCAACCUGAUUGUUUUUUAGAGGCCCAAAUUUGCUUGAUUCUGAAUAGACGACAAGGUAAACUGACUAUAAUAGUCGUCAGUUCAUACCACAACCCAAUGACUAACAAUGAACAUCUCUCUAUAUGCAAUAUGAUUUCAGAGUGAAACAUACCAUUAUUUGCUAUUGGACCAACCAAAUGUGGUUUCAACUCCACAUGAGAAAAACAAUGUAGGAACUGAAC